rnacentral:lncRNA from 1 species
UCGUGGGCCACCAUACCUGGUCUUUCCAUUUUUUUUUAAAGGAAAUACUAAGUAUCAAAGUUCUUUAAAAAAAAAAACAAACUUUUUUUUGUGCCUGUGUUUUUGCAGGUGCUUUAAGCAUAAGCUUAAUCUGCCUAUUGGGUAAUCAAGUAUUGGCCACAAACCUGCUUUUGAAUGGACCUUCCUUCAGAACCAGAACAUCUGGAUAGAGCUUGUCAGGGUCAUGAGGCCAUUGCCCCAAGUAUCACUCCACCCACAAAAUAGUUCUAGGAGGCCGGGGAAGCUGGUAAACAAACAGCACUCAUUACCUUCCUUCUUUCUCGUAGCCAUCCUGAGCCUGAGCCUAUUUUCUGUAAUCCCAACACUUUGGGAGGCUGAGGCAGGUGGAUUGCUUGAACCCAGGAGUUACAGACCAGCCUGGACAACACGGCAAGACCCCAUCUCUACAAAAACGUUAAAAAAAAUUAACCUGGCAUGGUGGCAUGCAUUUGUAGUCUCAGCUACUUGGGAGGCUGAGGCAGGAGGAUCACUUGAGCCUGGGGAGUUGAGUCUGUAGUGAGCUGUAUUCUCACCACCACACCCCAGCCUGGGCCAAGAAGCAAGACCCUGUCUCAACGACAACAAAAACCAAAACAAAACAAACAAAAAAAAAGAAAAUGAGCUCAGUAGCUCCCUUCUAGAUCAAUGCACUACAGCAGAUAGUCUGACACACAAAAGGAGCAUGAGAGGCCAGGAGUUUGAAACCAGCCUGGGCAACAUAGCAAGAUCCCAUCUCUAAAAAAAAAUUUUUUUUUUUUGAGACAGAGUUUCACUCUUGUUGCCAGGCUGGAGUGCAAUGGCGCAUCUCGGCUCACUGCAACCUCCGCCUCCCGUGUUCAAGCGAUUCUCCUGCCUCAGCCUCCCGAGUACCUGGGAUUACAGGCAUCCGCCACCACACCUGGCUAAUUUUGUGUUUUUAAUAGAGACAGGGGUUUCUCCAUGCUGUUCAGGCUGGUCUCAAACUCCUGACCUCAGGUGAUCCACCCGCCUCAGCCUCCCAAACUGUUGGGAUUACAGGCGUGAGCCACCCCACCUGGCCAAAAAAAAUUUGUUUUUAAGUUAGCUGGAUGUGGUGGCACACUUCUGCACUUCUGUAGUCCUAGCUACUCGAGAGGCUAAGGUGGGAGGAUUGCUUGAGCCCAGGAGUUUGAAGCAGCAGUGAGUCACAAUCACACCACUGCACUCUGUGCAGACACAGGAAGACUCUGUCUCUUACAGAUACAGGUAUAAAUAUAAAUACAUAUACAUACACACACAGAGGGAGAGAGAGAGAGAAACUGCAGGGAAAAACAGAUGCAUAAUUGUAGCUGAAGACUUGAACAUCCUCCUCUCAGAAACUGAGACAGCAAGGCUUGGAUAGUAUAAUUAACAUAUUUCAACAAUUCUACAUCCUAUACAAGAGUAGACUCUAGACGGUUAAAAAUUUAAUAAACAUGAAGAGUAAAACUAUAAAGAAAAAUAUAAGAGACUCAUAGUUUGUGACUCAAAAUGGAAGGCAAAACUUCAACAAGUCAAAGGCUGCGGAUGACUUUGGGUACUUUAUACUCUGAAUUUCAGUUCCUACACCUGAAAAAUGGAAGUAAUAAUAUCUGUCUUGCUGGAUUGUUUUAGGGCUAAGUGGGAUAGCGUUUGGAAAGUGCUGACAGAGCCACAAGUACACAAUUAUAGAUGUCCAGUGAACAUGAGUUCUUUCUCCCACCUCUCAGGGCCGAGUGACCAAAAAUGAGACAAAGACUAUGUGGCUGAUUUUUGAAAUGCAAAGAAUAGUGAACAACUGAGGAGUCAGACAUUCCCCAGGUCUUAUUUCUAACUUUUUGAGCAAACUCUUCAUCAUUUGUAAGAAGGAAAUUGUCAAAGAUGCUGACAGAUUUUACCUGUUGAAGUGAAAACAACAGGAUUAUUAAAACUAGGUGCCUAAAUGUCGAAGGGCUUAAAAAGCACCUGGAGACCCUUGCUAAAUGCAUAUUCCCAGGCUACUGGCCCAGAGGUUGUAAUCAAUAAUUUGGGUUAGACAAGGAAAUACAAGGGUUAUUAAUAACACAGAGGGUCCAAAAUCCUCCACUGCGCCCAGCCAGAUUCUAUACGAUGCAGAUCAUGUACUAUAGUUCUCUAUUUUUUUAAAAUAACAUUUUUAAUAUUUACAAUGGAAGGAAAAGAUUAAUGAAAUCCAUCAUAUGUAAUAUUUUCCAUGUUUGUUUAUUGAAUGAGAAAGGAACAGAAUACAAAGAACACAAGUCAUGGAGUCAGACCAGCUCAACCACAUACUAGCUGUGUGAUCUCGGGCAAGUUUGCUCAAUCCCUGUAAGCCUAGUCCCUAUAAGUAAAGUAGGGAAAAUAAUAACUCCCUGACAGUAAUUUCAUGAGACUUAGCGAUAAUAUAGGUAAAGCACACUGUCUAGCAGUUAAUUGUCACCCAAUAGACACUAGUGGCUAUUAUCAUAACUUUUCAGUACCUGAGUAUGUUUCAAAAAGGGCAAAAUGAUGGUCAUUUUAUAAUUUUUUACUUUUGCAGUAAGUUAAAUAAAUCAUGAAGUCAAUUUCAUGGGAGUAUUUGUAUAACCAACUGGAAAGUCUGUAGCAUGAGUAAUCCCAUGUCCCUCCCUAGGCUUUGAAAAAACCCCUGCCUUGAACUCAUGGAGUUAGAGAGCAGAAUGAUAAUUACCAGAGACUGGGAAGGGUGAGAGUGGAGCU